UAUAUAUUCUCUUCGUCCGAAAAUACUUGUCAUCAAAAUGAAUAAAAAGAGAUGUAUCUAAAACUAAAAUAUAUCUAUAUACAUCCACUUUUCUUUAUUUUGAUGAUAAGUAUUUUCGGACGGAGGGAGUAAGAA
rfam:Triticum aestivum genome assembly, contig: Triticum_aestivum_CS42_TGACv1_scaffold_556580_7AL